CGGGAAGGGAUAAACGCUGAAGGCAUCUAAGCGUGAAGCCCCCCUCAAGAUGAGAUAUCCCAUUCGAAAGAAGUAAGACCCCUUGAAGACGACGAGGUAGAUAGGGCAGAGGUGGAAGUGCCGUAAGGCAUGGAGCUGACUGUUACUAAUCGGUCGAGGGCUUGACCUAAUU
rnacentral:rRNA from 1 species